rnacentral:lncRNA from 1 species
UACGGUUGACAUAUCCAACACGGGUGCAUUCAAUUCUUUUAAAGUUUUAUCUUGUAUUUGGAGGGUGCAUGGAAAUUCAUAUCCCCAUGCUCAUUCCCAAAUAUGCAUUAGGCAUGGGUACUUAAAGAAAAGCAUAGAGUUGGAAUGGUUAUUAGCAAAAGCAAAAUAUUUAGUAAACUUGUUCCCUUUUGUGUAGGAAGAGGACUUGUAUGAAAUAGAUAUUCCCUUGAAAUUCACAGCAUCUGUCGGGACUAGAGUCCACGGGUUGGCCUGUUGGUUCGAUGUUCUGUUCAAUGGAAGGUAAUAUUUUAAAAUUUUGCUUUAUUCAUCAGAACUGGUGUUUCAUCCUAUCUAAAUGCAAUCAAACUGCUUUAUUGACAGUACCGUGCAAAGAUGGCUUACGACCGCCCCUGGUGCACCUACAACACACUGGUACCAGAUACGAUGUGUCCUCUCACAGCCGAUUUACGUUAUGGCCGGGCAAGAAAUAACAGGCCGACUUCAUAUGAUUGCCCAUAAUGCUCAAAGUUAU